GGGGGUCAAAUCGAAGUGAAAACACUGGUUCUCGUUCGAUCACCGAAGUUAAGCUAUGUCAAGCCCGAUCAGUACAUAAAUGGGGGAACACUGG